rnacentral:rRNA from 1 species
GGCUCAUUAUAUCAGUUAUGGUUCAAUAGAUCGUACUCAGUUACAUGGAUAACUGCGGAAAUACUGGAGCUAAUACAUGCCAACAGAGUCCCGACCGGAGACGGAAGGGACGCUUUUAUUAGAUCAAAACCAAUCGGUGGCUUCGGCCAUCGUGCAGUCUGGUGACUCUGAAUAACUUUGGGCUGAUCGCACGGCCCUCGUGCCGGCGACGCAUCUUUCAAAUGUCUGCCUUAUCAACUGUCGAUGGUAGGUUCUGCGCCUACCAUGGUUGUAACGGGUAACGGGGAAUCAGGGUUCGAUUCCGGAGAGGGAGCCUGAGAAACGGCUACCACAUCCAAGGAAGGCAGCAGGCGCGCAAAUUACCCACUCCCGGCUCGGGGAGGUAGUGACGAAAUAUAACGAUACGGGACUCAUCCGAGGCCCCGUAAUCGGAAUGACUACACUUUAAAUCCUUUAAGGAGUAUCAAUUGGAGGGCAAGUCUGGUGCCAGCAGCCGCGGUAAUUCCAGCUCCAAUAGCGUAUAUUAAAGUUGUUGCGGUUAAAAAGCUCGUAGUUGGAUCUGUGUCCCGCACCGUCGGUUCACCGCCCGACGGUGUCAAACUGACGCGAUGCGGGACGUCCUGCCGGUGGCGUGUCUAGCUGCGCGCGGCAACGCGCGUGGGCGGCGCCGAUUCAAUCCCGUCGCGGUGCUCUUCACUGAGUGUCGAGGUGGGCCGGCACGUUUACUUUGAACAAAUUAGAGUGCUUCAAGCAGGCUGGAUAUCGCCUGAAUGCUCGUGCAUGGAAUAAUGGAAUAGGACCUCGGUUCUAUUUUGUUGGUUUUCGGAACCAGAGGUAAUGAUUAAUGGAGACAGGCGGGGGCAUUCGUAUUGCGACGUUAGAGGUGAAAUUCUUGGAUCGUCGCAAGACGGACCGAAGCGAAAGCAUUUGCCAAGGAUGUUCUCGUUGAUCAAGAACGAAAGUUAGAGGUUCGAAGGCGAUCAGAUACCGCCCUAGUUCUAACCUUAAACGAUGCCAGCUAGCGAUCUGCUAAAGUUCCUUUGAUGACUUAGCAGGCAGCUUCCGGGAAACCAAAGCUUUUGGGUUCCGGGGGAAGUAUGGUUGCAAAGCUGAAACUUAAAGGAAUUGACGGAAGGGCACCACCAGGAGUGGAGCCUGCGGCUUAAUUUGACUCAACACGGGAAACCUCACCAGGCCCGGACACUGGAAGGAUUGACAGAUUGAGAGCUCUUUCUUGAUUCAGUGGGUGGUGGUGCAUGGCCGUUCUUAGUUGGUGGAGCGAUUUGUCUGCUUAAUUGCGAUAACGAACGAGACUCUAGCCUGCUAACUAGUCGUUUCCGGCUUCCCUUGUUGCAGCCGGCGAAGACAAAUCUUCUUAGAGGGACAGGCGGCUUCUAGUCGCACGAGAUUGAGCAAUAACAGGUCUGUGAUGCCCUUAGAUGUUCUGGGCCGCACGCGCGCUACAAUGAAGGUAUCAGCGUGUCCUCCCUGGCCGAAAGGUCCGGGUAACCCGCUGAACCACCUUCGUGCUUGGGAUUGGGGCUUGAAAUUGUUCCCCAUGAACGAGGAAUUCCCAGUAAAGGCGUGUCAUUAGCACGCCUUGAUUACGUCCCUGCCCUUUGUACACACCGCCCGUCGCUACUACCGAUUGAAUGAUUUAGUGAGGUCUUCGGACUGGCGCGCGGUGUUCCUUCGGGAUCGCCGCUGUCGCCGGAAAGAUGACCAAACUUGAUCAUUUAGAGGAAGUAAAAGUCGUAACAAGGUUUCCGUAGGUGAACCU